CGCGAGGACGGGCCGGAUUUCGUCUUCUUCGAGGGGCCGCCGACGGCGAACGGCAAGCCGGGCGUGCAUCACGUCCUCUCGCGG
rnacentral:tRNA from 1 species